rnacentral:rRNA from 1 species
GCGACCCCAGGUCAGGCGGGACUACCCGCUGAGUUUAAGCAUAUAAUAA